rnacentral:rRNA from 1 species
UACGUAGGGGGCAAGCGUUAUCCGGAUUUACUGGGUGUAAAGGGAGCGUAGACGGCGGGGCAAGUCUGGAGUGAAAGGCCGGGGCCCAACCCCGGGACCGCUCUGGAAACUGCCCGGCUGGAGUGCGGGAGAGGUAAGCGGAAUUCCUAGUGUAGCGGUGAAAUCCGUAGAUAUCUGGAGGAACAUCAGUGGCGAAGGCGGCCACCUGGACCGGUAUUGACGCUGAGGCGCGAAAGCGUGGGGAGCAAACAGG